rnacentral:rRNA from 1 species
AUUGAACACUGGCGGCAGGCCUAACACAUGCAAGUCGAACGGUAACAGGAAGAAGCUUGCUUCUUUGCUGACGAGUGGCGGACGGGUGAGUAAUGUCUGGGAAACUGCCUGAUGGAGGGGGAUAACUACUGGAAACGGUAGCUAAUACCGCAUAACGUCGCAAGACCAAAGAGGGGGACCUUCGGGCCUCUUGCCAUCUGAUGUGCCCAGAUGGGAUUAGCUAGUAGGUGGGGUAACGGCUCACCUAGGCGACGAUCCCUAGCUGGUCUGAGAGGAUGACCAGCAACACUGGAAAUGAGACAAGGUCCAGACUCCUACGGGAGGCAGCAGUGGGGAAUAUUGCACAAUGGGCGCAAGACUGAUGCAGCCAGGCCGCGUGUAUGAAGAAGGCCUUCGGGUUGUAAAGUACUUGCAGCGGGGAGGAAGGGAGUAAAGUUAAUACCUUUGCUCAUUGACGUUACCCGCAGAAGAAGCACCGGCUAACUCCGUG